rnacentral:rRNA from 1 species
GGUUUAAUGCAGAAAGUCUGACGGAGCACGCCGCGUGAGUGAUGAAGGUUUUCAUGAUCGUAAAGCUCUGUUGAUAGGGAAGAACAAGUACCGUUCGAAUAGGGCGGUACCUUGACGGUACCUAACCAGAAAGCCACGGCUAACUACGUGCCAGCAGCCGCGGUAAUACGUAGGUGGCAAGCGUUGUCCGGAAUUAUUGGGCGUAAAGGGCUCGCAGGCGGUUUCUUAAGUCUGAUGUGAAAGCCCCCGGCUCAACCGGGGAGGGUCAUUGGAAACUGGGGAACUUGAGUGCAGAAGAGGAGAGUGGAAUUCCACGUGUAGCGGUGAAAUGCGUAGAGAUGUGGAGGAACACCAGUGGCGAAGGCGACUCUCUGGUCUGUAACUGACGCUGAGGAGCGAAAGCGUGGGGAGCGAACAGGAUUAGAUACCCGAGGUAGUCCA